UGAUUUCACUGGAAGCUCCAAUCAUCCGUCAAAAAUUUUGCCUUUUGGACAAACAUUGUUUUAUUCUUCAUUUCUUUCGACAUUGAUGCUGAAUUUUUAUUUUUGUAGAAUUUACUUGUUGAGUUUUGUCAAAAUUCCAAAAUCUUAAAUGGAUCAAAUUGAUUCUGCAAUGGAUGACUGAUCCGAAGACUGAAAUGCGAGAAAAAUUCAGUCAGAGCUCAUAAUUUCUCAAAUUUAAUACUGGAAAAUCAAGGUUACAACGAUUCUCAUGUGAGACGAAAUAGAUUUGAGACGCUUGAUGUUAGUUGUUUGCUUAAAAAAGAGGAAAUUCAAGAUGACGAUUCAAUAUCAUAAUGGAUUCUGUUUCUCGUAACAUUUGAAUGAUGUCAAUUCCACGUUUUAACCAGCAGAAGUCUCUGCAAAAUGUUAUUUCUUCAAUUUAGGAUGGAUUUUGUGUCGCUUUCGCGGUCAAUUUUUCUUCGAUCAUUGAAAAU